rnacentral:lncRNA from 1 species
GUGUACUUCGUUUGUGUCCAACGACCAGACCAAGACCGCUUUCGGAUCCCCACCUUUAUCAAUACUUCAUACAUACUCGCAAUAUUCAGAUUGCUUUUAUCAUAUUCUUGCUUGUUCUUCGAUUGCUUGCAGGAAUAGACCUUCGUGGUCAGGUUGAUUGUUCUCCGGCGUGGUCAAUAACCUCUCGGAGUUGGUUUAGCGAUUGCUAAGGCGCAACGUCGUGCACGUUUGUAGUCGGAUCGUCAAAGUCGUCUCCACCAAAUUGAUAGUUAUCAUCUCAUCGAAAGAUCGGGACCCUCGCCUCUAUCAAGUGGUAUCAGUUUUCAGGUUGCUCGGUGAGAAUUUCCAGUUUUCCUAGAUUAGAUUUAUUUUCUUACCUAUUGUCCAAGAAAAAGCAACAAAAAAGAGUUAGAUCUAUUCAUCCUUGGUCCAAGCCAGUCUGAGCCUUUGCAAUUUUCUUUUCAUUGCUUGCAUAGUUGAAUUAUCGGUUGCAUCGUCGUGUCGAGUUGCUGGUCUUAGUGUCUAGUUCGUUUAGAGUUUCGAGUUCUGUUCACAUUAGUCACGCCACCGCUGCAUCAUUAUCUCUUCCGCUGUCCACCACCCAUCCAUCAAUUUCCACCACGUGCUACCCAUCAUUCAUUGUCAUAAAAAUAGUUGAGAUCAUUCACAUCUUCACUUGAUCCAAUCUGCAUCUUAUCUAGUUUGUUUUGGAAAGAGGGAGAAAAAAAGAGAGAAAAAAAACAAGAGAAAAAAAGGAGAAAAAAAAAGUCAGAGAAAAAAAAAGGAGAGAAAGAAAAAAGUGUGAGGAAAAAAAAGAGAGAAGAAAAAAAAACAAAAAAAUCGGCACAAACUUUUUCAGAGGAAAGUUGGAGACAAAGUUGUUGAUAUAUCCUGCUUGGCUGUUGUUUCGCCUCAUUAUCUUUACUGCCGUUGUGAUCUUCAUUUAUAUCUUGCUGUCUAGAGCUACUUAGUGUCCUUCAUUGAUGCUAGUUGUGCUACGACGUGACCUCAUUAGUGUUCUAGGCUCGCGUCUCUAGUUCGGUCUAGCCUAGGACCAGCACAGUACCGUCGUUGAGCGUUUAUUCAACAUUGCAUCUUUGAAUUGAUUAUUGCUAAUCUUUUGCUACCAUAUAUAGCCAACCCAGCUCCACAUAUUUCUACACCGUGUAUACGUACGCUCCCCUGGCAAUCGCUUUACUCAAUAUUCGGAGUUACUUGACACCGCUGGUUGCCGAUCACCGCCUGCUGCAUGGUAAGAACUUGUAAGACAUUGAUAUUUGCUUUACUGUGAGCGUUUUACCACCACAUCCUAGUAGUUAUAGGAACAUUAUUUUUGGGUUUUGUUUCUUGUUCUACUAAUCAUGACAGGACCCAGAGUCAAUUCAUGGGCUUUGUCGAUCGCGGGGGACGUGCCACCACCUUUGCAAAUACCACAACCGUCACGAGAGGUGCACAAACAUCCAAGUGCACAUGAUCAGGUUAAUGUAUCUAUACCACCAUUUAAUGGCCGUUUUAAACCUGCUUUAUAUAUUGAAUGGGAGUUCGACAUAAAAAAUAUAUUUGCUUCCCAUAAUUUCGAUGAACAUAAAAAGGUUAAGGUUGCGCUUGGUUCUUUCACUGGUUAUGCUUUGGUUUGGUGGAGUGAAUAUUGUCGGUUACACCCUGAUUAUAUACCUACUACUUGGGAUGGUUUGAAACUUGCCAUGCGACAUACUUUUGUCCCUGCUUAUUAUACUCGUGACAUGAUUAAGAAGUUGCAACACUUAAAACAAGGUAGUGAAACUGUAACAAAAUAUUAUGAUGAUUUACAAACUACCUUGUUGCAUUCCUCUUUAGAAGAAAGUGAAGAUGAUUUUAUGGAUAGAUUUUGGGGAGGAUUAAACCGUGAUAUUCAAGAGAUACUAAUUCAUGAAGAGUGUUAUCCUAUGGACCAUUUGUUUCAUCUUGCUUGCAAAGCUGAACAGGAAAUAAAACGACGUGUUGGCCACGAGGAGAACAAGCGCACGAUGCACAUUCCAAGAGUUGAUAUGAUUGUUCCUUCAACUACUAGGCAUACUAUGACAACCACAUCCGUUGUUGUCAGGACUACAUCACCUCCACCAUGUGACACAUCGCCCCUGAGAGUGGCUACAUCAUCUGAGUUGAUCAUAAGAGGUAAUGACAAAGGUACUGAUCUUCCAUCUCUACAUGAGAAUGAUGAAUGCCUUGUCAAUUUGAAUGCACCAUCUGAUGAGCUACCCACUACUUUGAUCACACCACCUAUUUUAGAGGACUAUGUUGAUAAUUUGACUUUGCCAUGUGAUCAAACAACUGAAAUACCAACAAUUUUGAGUGCACCCAUUGAAUUAACUAUUGAUGCAAAAGAACCAAUGUUUAAUCAUUUUGAUAUGACCUCUAAUCUUGGUGAUGAUUCUGUGUUGAAUGACUUAUUGCAUGUUUGCUUAUUUAAGCAUGUUGUAGCAUGUAAAUUUGAUGCAAGUAAGGUUUAUUCACCAAUGUUGGGAUGGUUUAAUGAUGAACAUUGUCAAUCUUUUGAAAUGAAUAAUAGCUUCACUUAUAUGUGCAAACUGAGUUGCAAUAUUUUCAUGCCUUCUACUUCUUGUGCUAAUUUUUUGGCUUUAGAUUUUAUGAACUAUGCAAGUUACUCAUCUAUUCAUGUGUCAUAUAUGCAAAAAUCAAGGGAAGUAAAAAUGGAUGACAUAUACAUAUACAACAUGUACACCUUGUCUCUUUUGUUAGCCACAUUUCAGAUUAAGCAACGCCGAGGACGGCUUUAUUUUCAAGAAGGGGAGGAUGAUGAGGACAUGACUACCUUGGAUAUGACCAAAAAUAUUGCAUAUAUGCAUAUUUGUCAGGUGAUUUCUAGUGCAAACUAUUCAAUAAUCUAUUUAUGUUAUCCAGAAAAAAAAUACUUCACACACUUUUGUGUUUUGUCUAAUUGCAGGUGUAUGGGACAUUUGUACAAUCCACAUAUGAAGAUAAGGAAGAAAGAGAUGUUUAUUUGCUGUCCAAAAAGUUCUCUCACGUCACUUUUGGCCCAAGAGAAGAUAGAGUCCAAGUCUCUCACGUUCUGGAUUCAGAUUCGGACUGCACAGACAUAUCUGACUCAAAACGCACACAAGUUUUUCAUACGGACUCCGAAUUGGGUGAUUCUUUUUUUGUUGGAAACUAGAUUUCGUGCACUUUCCAACCCAAUUGGAAUCACCUUCAAAUUCGUCCGGAGCGUUGAGUUGUGGACGAAACAAUCUGAUGCUGCAGCAGAAUCCGAGUCAAACUACAAGUCCAAAGGUGUUACAUCACCUCCACUUGGGCCCAUUGGCCUUGUACGACCUAGAUUUAGUUUUAGGCUGCCUUGGGACGUCCUCCCACCUCCUUGGUCGCCACCCCUUGCUCCUAUAUAAGUAGAUCCAUCUAGUAGCUUUUCCUUGGGAUUUGUUUAGUUAAAAGUUAGCCAUUGCAACUUCGUGUACUUCGUUUGUGUCCAACGACCAGACCAAGACCGCUUCCGGAUCCCCACCAUUAUCAAUACUUCAUAUAUAUUUGCAAUAUUCAGAUUGCUUUAUCAUAUUCUUGCUCGUUCUUCGAUUGCUUGCAGGAAUAGACCUUCGUGGUCAGGUUGACCGUGCUUCCAGCAUCGUCAGUAACCUCAGGAGAUUGGUUUAGCGAUUGCUAAGGCGCAACGUCGUGCACGUUUGUAGUCGGAUCGUCAAAGUCGUCUCCACCAAAUCGAUAGUUAUCAUCUCAUCGAAAGAUCGGGACCCUCGCCUCUAUCUAGUGGUAUCAGUUUUCAGGUUGCUCGGUGAGAAUUUCCAGUUUUCCUAGAUUAGAUUUAUUUUCUUACCUAUUGUCCAAGAAAAAGCCACAAAAAAGAGUUAGAUCUAUUCAUCCUUGGUCCAAGCCAGUCUGAGCCUUUGCAAUUUUCCUUUCAUUGCUUGCAUAGUUGAAUUAUCGGUUGCAUCGUCGUGUCGACUUGCUGGUCUUAGUGUCUAGUUCGUUUAGAGUUUCGAGUUCUGUUCACAUUAGUCACGCCACCGCUGCAUCAUUAUCUCUUCCGCUGUCCACCACCCAUCUAUCAAUUUCCACCACGUGCUACCCAUCAUUCAUUGUCAUAAUAAUAGUUGAGAUCGUUCACAUCUUCACUUGAUCCAAUCUGCAUCUUAUCUAGUUUGUUUUGGAAAGAGGGAGAAAAAAAGAGAGAGAAAAAAAACGAGAGAAAAAAAGGGAGAAAAAAAAGUCAGAGAAAAAAAAGGAGAGAAAGAAAAAAAAGUGUGAGGAAAAAAAAGAGAAGAAAAAAAAACAAAAAAAUCGGCACAAACUUUUUCAGAGGAAAGUUGGAGACAAAGUUGUUGAUAUAUCCUGCUUGGCUGUUGUUUCACCUCAUUAUCUUUACUGCCGUUGUGAUCUUCACUUAUAUCUUGCUGUCCAGAGCUACUUAGUGUCCUUCAUUGAUGCUAGUUGUGCUACGACGUGACCUCAUUAGUGUUCUAGGCUCGCGUCUCUAGUUCGGUCUAGCCUAGGACCAGCACAGCACCGUCGUUGAGCGUUUAUUCAACAUUGCAUCUUUGAAUUGAUUAUUGCUAAUCUUUUGCUACCAUAUAUAGCCAACCCAGCUCCACAUAUUUCUACACCGUGUAUACGUACGCUCCCCUAGCAAUCGCUUUACUCAAUAUUCGGAGUUACUUGACACCGCUGGUUGCCGAUCACCGCCUGCUGCAUGGUAAGAACUUGUAAGACAUUGAUAUUUGCUUUACUGUGAGCGUUUUACCACCACAUCCUAGUAGUUAUAGGAACAUUAUUUUUGGGUUUUGUUUCUUGUUCUACUAAUCAUGACAGGAUCCAGAGUCAAUUCAUGGGCUUUGUCGAUCGCGGGAGACGUGCCACCACCUUUGCAAAUACCACAACCGUCACGAGAGGUGCACAAACAUCCAAAUGCACAUGAUCAGGUUAAUGUAUCUAUACCACCAUUUAAUGGCCGUUUUAAACCUGCUUUAUAUAUUGAAUGGGAGUUCGACAUAAAAAAUAUGUUUGCUUCCCAUAAUUUCAAUGAACAUAAAAAGGUUAAGGUUGCGGUUGGUUCUUUCACUGGUUAUGCUUUGGUUUGGUGGAGUGAAUAUUGUCGGUUACACCCUGAUUAUAUACCUACUACUUGGGAUGAUUUGAAACUUGCCAUGCGACAUACUUUCGUCACUGCUUAUUAUACUCGUGACAUGAUUAAGAAGUUGCAACACUUAAAACAAGGUAGUGAAACUGUAACAAAAUAUUAUGAUGAUUUACAAACUACCUUGUUGCAUUCCUCUUUAGAAGAAAGUGAAGAUGAUUUUAUGGAUAGAUUUUGGGGAGGAUUAAACCGUGAUAUUCAAGAGAUACUAAUUCAUGAAGAGUGUUAUCCUAUGGACCAUUUGUUUCAUCUUGCUUGCAAAGCUGAACAGGAAAUAAAACGACGUGUUGGCCACGAGGAGAACAAGCGCACGGUGCACAUUCCAAGAGUUGAUAUGAUUGUUCCUUCAACUACUAGGCAUACUAUGACAACCACAUCCGUUGUUAUCAGGACUACAUCGCCUCCACCAUGUGACACAUCGGCCCCGAGAGUGGCUACAUCAUCUGAGUUGAUCAUAAGAGGUAAUGACAAAGGUACUGAUCUUUCAUCUCUACAUGAGAAUGAUGAAUGCCUUGUCAAUUUGAAUGCACCAUCUGAUGAGCUACCCACUACUUUGAUCACACCACCUAUUUUAGAGGACUACGUUGAUAAUUUGACUUUGCCAUGUGAUCAAACAACUGAAAUACCAACAAUUUUGAGUGCACCCAUUGAAUUAACUAUUGAUGCAAAAGAACCAAUGUUUAAUCAUUUUGAUAUGACCUCUAAUCUUGGUGAUGAUUCUGUGUUGAAUGACUUAUUGCAUGUUUGCUUAUUUAAGCAUGUUGUAGCAUGUAAAUUUGAUGCAAGUAAGGUUUAUUCACCAAUGUUGGGAUGGUUUAAUGAUGAACAUUGUCAAUCUUUUGAAAUAAAUAAGAGCUUCACUUAUAUGUGCAAACUGAGUUGUAAUAUUUUCAUGCCUUCUACUUCUUGUGCUAAUUUUUUGGCUUUAGAUUUUAUGAACUAUGCAAGUUACUCAUCUAUUCAUGUGUCAUAUAUGCAAAAAUCAAGGGAAGUAAAAAUGGAUGACAUAUACAUAUACAACAUGUACACCUUGUCUCUUUUGUUAGCCACAUUUCAGAUUAAGCAACGCCGAUGACGGCUUUAUUUUCAAGAAGGGGAGGAUGAUGAGGACAUGACUACCUUGGAUAUGACCAAAAAUAUUGCAUAUAUGCAUAUUUGUCAGGUGAUUUCUAGUGCAAACUAUUCAAUAAUCUAUUUAUGUUAUCCAGAACAAAAAUACUUCACACACUUUUGUGUUUUGUCUAAUUGCAGGUGUAUGGGACAUUUGUACAAUCCACAUAUGAAGAUAAGGAAGAAAGAGAUGUUUAUUUGCUGUCCAAAAAGUUCUCUCACGUCACUUUUGGCCCAAGAGAACAUAGAGUCCAAGUCUCUCACGUUCUGGAUUCAGAUUCGGACUGCACAGACACACCUGACUCAAAACGCACACAAGUUUUUCAUACGGACUCCGAAUUGGGUGAUUCUUUUUUUGUUGGAAACUAGAUUUCGUGCACUUUCCAACCCAAUUGGAAUCACCUUCAAAUUCGUCCGGAGCGUUGAGUUGUGGACGAAACAAUCUGAUGCUGCAGCAGAAUCCGAGUCAAACUACAAGUCCAAAGGUGUUACAUCACCUCCACUUGGGCCCAUUGGCCUUGUACGACCUAGAUUUAGUUUUAGGCUGCCUUGGGACGUGCUCCCACCUCCUUGGCCGCCACCCCUUGCUCCUAUAUAAGUAGAUCCAUCUAGUAGCUUUUCCUUGGGAUUUGUUUAGUUAAAAGUUAGCCAACGCAACUUCGUGUACUUCGUUUGUGUCCAACGACCAGACCAAGACCGCUUUCGGAUCCCCACCUUUAUCAAUACUUCAUACAUACUCGCAAUAUUCAUAUUGCUUUUAUCAUAUUUUUGCUUGUUCUUCGAUUGCUUGCAGGAAUAGACCUUCGUGGUCAGGUUGAUUGUGCUCCGGCGUGGUCAAUAACCUCUCGGAGUUGGUUUAGCGAUUGCUAAGGCGCAACGUCGUGCACGUUUGUAGUCGGAUCGUCAAAGUCGUCUCCACCAAAUUGAU